rnacentral:miRNA from 1 species
UCAGCCCAUUUGUCCUCAUGCCU